GUCCUGCGCUGCGUCAGGGUGCCGAGGCGGGGUUUCUCGCCUCCGGUCACAAUGGGACCUCUGUACCGCGCUGGGCUUGUUGGCCUGCGAUUAGCACACACCCAUCCCUGGGAACUGCUAGUCUGGAAAGCGGGGCUGCUUCUCCGGGAUGAGCCCGAGCCCUGCCAAGCCCCUCAAGGCAUUGAAGCUUUAGCUCACCUUAUCCGAAUGGUCAUUGGGCAUCUGGACUUGAGUUAACGACUGAAUUUUUCUGGGAAGCAAGGGACACGUUCUAAAAUAACCCCAGGAUCACUCUCCGAACUUGGCCUGAGUCUAGGCAAGCAGUGUUACUCGGUCGCCUUGAUCUUGGAGCUGCUGUGUACUGGGGACCUCAUACUAGUUGGGUUAACUAUAUUCCCAUUAGCAGUACGCGGGAUCGCAGUACUCGGGACAAGCUGAGUUCAGGUAUUUGGCUGCUAUGAGUAACACGAUCUGGAAAGACAGCGCUAGCAAGGAAUGAGGAGUGAUACAGUGACUGGAGGCUAAGAGAUAAUGUCUGCAAGUCACCUAAAACCAUUGCAGACACAGGGAGAUUGAUGGAUUUGGAGGACUUCUGGUUGUGAAGACUCUGACGAUUGCUAAAGAGGUACAAAUGAACAUCCAGAUAAAGAGGUCCUGAACUUCUGCCAAUACUGUAGGUAUCUUUAGCUAUCUACGGCCUUCCCCACCGCAUCCUGUGUCUGUAAAGACUCCAGACUCAGCUGGCAGAGGAGAGAAGUGGCUGGAUGUUGGGAAGAAGCAAGUUGACCUCAGAGAAAGCAGCUGGAUGUCAGAAAGAGGCAAUUUGACUUCCGAAGAGAGAGACAGAGAGGUGACUUAACCUCAGGGGAGAGCAACCUGCCCUUGAGACAGAGAGGUGACUUAACCUCAGGGGAGAGCAACCUGCCCUUCCCAUCCCCUUUCCAGCUCCCCUCUCCGCUGAGAGUUGCUUUCAUCACUGAAUAAAAUUCUCCACAUUCACCAUGCUUCAGUUCGUCUGUAUGACCUCAUUCCUUUUGAGCACCAGAAAAGAAUUCGGGAUGCACUAAGCACAGGUACCCAA
rnacentral:lncRNA from 1 species